GUGCUCGCUUCGGCAGCACAUAUACUAAAAUUGGAACGAUACAGAGAAGAUUAGCAUGGCCCCUGUGCAAGGAUGACAUGCAAAUUUUUAAAAAUAAUCUAAACAAAA